rnacentral:rRNA from 1 species
CGUGGGUAACCUGCCCAAGAGAUCGGGAUAACACCUGGAAACAGAUGCUAAUACCGGAUAACAACAGAUGAUGCCUAUCAACUGUUUAAAAGAUGGUUCUGCUAUCACUCUUGGAUGGACCUGCGGUGUAUUAGCUAGUUGGUAGGGUAACGGCCUACCAAGGCGAUGAUGCAUAGCCGAGUUGAGAGACUGAUCGGCCACAUUGGGACUGAGACACGGCCCAAACUCCUACGGGAGGCAGCAGCA